CUUCUGUUCUAGUUUAUGUAGUGGUGAUUGUACUUGAUAUUACGAUUAUAUUGGGUUGUUUAUGUGCACUAAUAUUUGUUUCAGUGGUACGUAACUUUGUUUGGUCAUAAGGAAAGUAAAACUCAUAUUUACUCGGGAUAUUAUCAUCAUCCUUAAAAAGAAAUGGAUAGUUAACAUAGAGCAAUUUCAAGGCAAUUUUCUUAGAAAUAACUUUAAACUUUACAUGAUGGAAGAACUUUCCUGCUGAUAAUUUUAAAUGCUUAAGUUGACUUUUGAGAGUCAUUAUAAGCUGAGCAACAUGAUGCCUCAUACUUUGAAGCCUGAAUUAUUUUAUUCAUGCUUUAGAUUUCUACCCAACCUGUAAGUAUCAUACUAUCUUUCAGUAAAAACCUCUAGAAACUAUAAAGUUCAGAUGUUGUAAGUUGUGAGGCAAAUUUGUUGCAAAAUUUUAAAUAUUGUCACAUGAUUCACUCGUCAUUUUUGUUCUCAACUGUCUAAGGCCUACUUAGUUUUAGAAAACGCCUUUAGUUUCCAUUUUCAUAGAAACUGUUUUCAAUGUUUUUGACAAAAUAUUUCUUUAGUGAAAAUAAUAUUUGUCAUUAGGGAUGAAAAUUAGGGAUGAAAAUUGUGAGACUAUGAUCAGGUUACAUCACAUUCAAAAAACAGUCUUAGUUAUUCCAAAUCUCCAUGUUUGCAUGUGGAAUGAGAAUACUAAAAAGUCAUCUUCAGUUUGUGAUUUCGAUUUUGAGAAUAGUAUUCCUUUUAUGCAUCAACUGCUUUUGGAGUGUUACCAAAGCAUUUUCUGUUCUGUUUUAAUUCUCAAAUUGAAAUCAGAACAGACUUUUGAGAAUCUUUAUCGGCCGAAUGCCUCCUUAGAUUAUCAAUCUCUUCCUGUCUGAAAAAAAAAUGAACUUUAUCAAGUUGCUCAACAGGCUUUGAACAUUGAUAUUUUACUUCAUGUCAUCCGGACAUCAUUAUCAGUCAUGCAUAAGCAGUGGGCCGAUGCCAUCAACAUAUUUCAUGAGAAGUUUGAUUUGCUGUCAAACCUUAUUAGUGACCAUGGCAAGCGGUACUGUUAAUACAGAGUGGUAGAUGGCGUUUCAUUUUUCUUCAUUUAAUUGUCUUUGUCUCCUUGAAAACACUAGCAAUUCCUGUCAAUAUUGUGCUUAUAGCCCGCAAUUAUCACAUAAAUGGCCUCUCUCUCUCUCUCUCUCUUAUAGAGCGACUUUAGGGCAGGACUUGAUAAUUUCUCAUGAACAUUCCAAACUUCUAUCCUGCUUGCAUGAAUUGGAUAGCAGACUAGGUUGCAUUUCUUUAAUGAAUUUUCCAUUGUAACUUUUAUUUGUCAGAGACUCUAGAGCAUGUUGUUAAGUUCAAACAAGUUUGCAGAAGAUGAAGAUGGCUUGUAAUGACCAUUUACUGUGUAAAACAUUUUCUUUCGUAAACUUUUAACUUUGAUGGUUCCAGCGUGUAACUUAUGUGUUCAAUGCUAUUUUUAUCCCUCAUGAGUGUGUCAGUUUACUUAAUAAGAGAUGAUAUUUGACUUAUGGGGUUAAGUAAUUGAAGUAUUGUUAUUUACUUAGCAGCCUGCUGUAGAAAUUAUUGGCUUCAGAAUGGGUGAGCUCAGGGGUCUUUCAGGACGGCGUUCUCGUUAUCUAGGUAUUGGUUUGGAUGAGACACUGGUGGAUAUUGCAGUAGAAAAGGCUGGAAUUCUACUUCUACAGGUUGAGUGAUUCAUAAGGGUGCUCUCAUAUGUUGUGCAGCCGGGUCUUUCCUUAUAGUGAAUUCCUAUAUACUCUUGUGAAUUUCGACAGUGAACUUGUUGUCGUGUUCUUGAAGUUUCUAUAUGAUCAAGAUCCGGUCAUGUAGCUUCUGGAUCUAUCUGAGGCUGAUGAAGAAAUUGACAUUGAUCC